GGCAACUAGUGACAGCUGUCUCUGAUUGGGAAUCGACAGAACCCAACAUAGAAAUACGCCCCAAAGCAAGGCUAUACCAAAAACAUAGAAAAUAAACUAUAGAAAUGCCACACCCUGACCAAAAUAGAAGAGUUCACCUGGUCAGGGCGUGACAGUGUGCGUGCGUGCGUGUGUGUGUGUGUGUGAGACUUGGUGAUGUCAGAUCAACCACAGAGACAGCACGGACAAUGUGUGAAGUGUGUGUAUGUGUGUGUGUGUGUGUCAGACACCAGGCUCAUAACACAGUGCUGUGACCAGCUCUAAUAAGAUAGAACACCAGGCUCAUAACACAGUUCUGUGACCAGCUCUAAUAAAAUUAAUCAUAGAGGUGUACCCCAGACUAGCCUCCCAGUUACUACUGCUGAAAAACAUCCCAACAGCAUGAUGCUGCCACAAGCAUGCUUCACCAUAGGGAUGGUGUUGGCCAGGUGAUUAGCGGUGCCUGGUUUCCUCCUGAUGUGAUGCUUGGCAUUCAGGCCAAAGAGUUCAAUCUUGGUUUCACCAGACCAGUGAAUAUUGUUUCUCAUGGUCUGAGAGUCCUUUAGGUGGCUUUUGGCAAACUUCAAGUGGGCUGUCAUGUGCCUUUUACUGAGGAGUGGCUUCCGUCUGGCCACUCUACCGUAAAGGCCUGAUUGGUGGAGUGCUGCAGAGAUGGUUGUCCUUCUGGAAGGUUCUCCUAUCUCCACAGAGGAACUCUGGAUCUCUGUCAGAGUGACCAUCGGGUUCUUGGUCACCUCCCUGACCAAGGCCCUUCUACCCCGAUUGGUCAGUUUGUCCAGGCGACAAGCUCUACGAUGUCUUGGUGGUUCCAAACUUCUUCCAUUUAAGAAUGAUGGAGGCCACUGUGUUCUUGGGGACCUUCAAUGCUGCAGAAAUGUGUUGGUACCCAUCAAGUUGUAGAAACAGCUCAAGGAUGAUCAAUGGGAACAGGAUGAACCUGAGCUAAAUUUUCGAGUCUCAUAGCAAAAAGUCUGAAUACUUAUGUAAAUAAGGUAUUUCUGUUUUUAUUUGUAAUAAAUUUGCAUUCAAAAAAAUCUAAAAACCUGUUUUCGCUUUGUAAUUAUGGGCUAUUGUGUGUUGAUUGAUGAGGGGGAAAAAAGAUUUAAUCAAUUUUAGAAUAAGGCUGUAAGGUAGCAAAAUGUUGAAAAAGUGAAGGAGUCUGAAUACUUUCCGAAUGCACUGUAUGUAUGGAUAAGAUGCAUCUACUUGAUAUAUUUAGUGGAGCAAAGUGUGUCAUGGACAAGGUGUAGUGUGAAGUUAAGUGUCCUGUCAUGAUAACUAGUCACAAAAUCUACAGCAGGAUAUGAGACAUGACACUCCCAAGGUGUUCAUCUGGGUAGUGUUUAUUAGGGAACAGUACAGAAACAUUUUGGAAAUUUUAUGUAACGGAAGACAAAAAAUUUGUGUUUGUUAUUGGACAAAUCCAGGGGUGUAUUCACUAGGAACCAAUCAGAACCAAACCUAAAUUU
rnacentral:lncRNA from 1 species